rnacentral:tRNA from 1 species
GGAAGGCAAUCGCGUCCGGUGGCGCGGCCGGGCUUCAAACCCGGUUGGGGACGGCAUCCGUUCCCGGGCAGGUUCGACUCCGGCUGCCUUCCGCCA